CGGGCUCUUUCGAGUCUG
rnacentral:siRNA from 1 species